rnacentral:rRNA from 1 species
UAGGGAAUAUUGGUAAUCUGGGAAACCGGGAACCAGCAACGCCGCGUGCGCGAUGAAGGCCUUCGGGUUGUAAAGCGCUUUUUAAGGGGAUGAGGAAGGACAGUACUCUUAGAAUAAGCCUCGGCUAACUACGUGCCAGCAGCCGCGGUAAAACGUAGGAGGCGAGCGUUAUCCGGAUUUACUGGGCGUAAAGCGUGUGUAGGCGGUUUGAUAAGUUGGAUGUGAAAGCUCCCGGCUCAACUGGGAGAGGUCGUUCAAAACUAUCAGACUUGAGAGUGGUAGAGGGAGGUGGAAUUCCGCGUGUAGUAGUGAAAUGCGUAGAUAUGCGGAGGAACACCAGUGGCGAAAGCGGCCUCCUGGCCCAUUUCUGACGCUCAGACACGAAAGCUAAGGUAGCAAACG